UCCCCUCCUCUCCUCUCCUCCACAGAUACCGCUGCUUUAAUAUUUUUUUUUCGAGAAAAAAAAAGAGAUCUAGAUAGAAAACAAGAGAUCGAGGGAGAAAAAGAUAAAGAGAGUUUGAUUCGAACCACUGAUGGUGGUUGAUUAGGGUUUUGGUUUAAAUCUGGAUCUAUCUUGCAACCAAGAAGAAGAAGGGGAUUUUGCUGUUUUAGAUGGCAGAAUACAACUGAAUCGAAGAUAAGGUUUUCUACGAAUUGGAAGAAUAAGCAAUUAUGGGUUGGAUUUGUGGAAUUUGUGUUUCUGCUGCUAGAAAUCAAGUUUGGGUUGGAGGAGAAUAAGUUAGGUUUUUGAUGAAAUUGAGUGCACAUAAAGGAGUUGAUGGUUCGAUAUUUGAUGGGUUUUGUUGAAUUGUUGAAGAUGAACCCGAGAAUGAAUUGGUUGAGUCUCUAGUGGGAUUUGAACGGAGUUUCAGCGAGAAAAGGGAUGUUAUCUGCUGUAAAUUCUUAGGGGUUUUACUGAGAAGAAAAAGAUUGAGAGUUUGUGAGAAAAUUGAGUACUAAUUUCUGACAGAGAAUACUAGGGUUUGGCAAAAUUUGGGGAUUAUCGAUUUAUGAAAUUGGGUUUAACUCGAAGGUAAUUGAGAACUGAGAUGCAAUUGAAUUCGAAAUAUAGAAGAGGAAUAGUUGAGAUGGAAAAGGAGUUAAACCUGGUGGAUGGUGAUUAAGAAGAGGAAAUUGUAGCUGGUAUUGAUGUUAAAUACAAGGGUUUGCUGUUGAAAUGGGAAUAGUAGGGCUGAUGGAAUUGCAGUGAUGCUGUUGAAGUUGCUACUGCAAUGAAGUGGUAAUACAUAGUAGAAGGGGUUUGGGAUUUGGCUUUGUGUUGAAGAUGUAGGGUUCAGUUAGGGAUGAAAUAAGACCAAGCUCAACAGGAAGAGUUUUGUUGCAGCAGUUUGGUGGUGCAGCGGCUUAGGUGUUGCAGGGAUUUGGUUGUGGUAGUAUUGUGGUAGAUGGAGUUGAGCUGGACUAUAAAAGAAGAAAUUGAGAUGGAAUCGUUGAAGUGCAAAGUGGUUCGUUGUGGUUGAGCAGGUGAUGUUGUUGUGGAAGUGCAGCUGUGAAAUAAUUGUAGGUGAUAGGUAUUGGUAGUAUGGGGAUAGAUUUUGCAAGCAAGGGCGGUCAAUCCCUUGCUGGCAGGUAAGGUAGUCCCCAAAAAUUGAAAGCGACUGGUCGAAUACCGUCGGUGGCCGGGUCGGAUCAGCAGAUCGAUGGAUCAAGCCUGGGCGGAUGUUCCGGGAUGGACAACUCCGGUAAGGCAGGAUGUACUUGGCAGGGGUGUCACUGGGAAAGUGAAUUAGUGCGGAGAUUUGAAAACGUGACGGAAAGUCGAACUAUCUGCAUCGAGAAAGGUCGAGCGAAGAGUGUUCCCCUUGGAAACAAGGGCGCUGAGGCGGUCUGGCCACGCCGGUGGGACAUCAAAUGUCUGCAACACUCACGGUCUAAACGGUGCGAGUAGCUCACGCCCAAAACCACCCAACCCGAACAAAGGAAACAAAUGAUCAUUUUCAUCUGGGUAUUGGUAGUAUGAAUGAUUACAGAGCUGAUGCUGGUGGUUGCAGUUGUUAGCCAGAAAUGCUAUGGGGAUGGUUUGCUUAUUAGAUGCAGCUGGUUUAGAAUGAACCGGAAAGGCUACUUUUGUUAAAAGACAUCUUACCUGAGAAUUCGAGAAGAAAUACGAACGGAAGUAGUUUUGAUAGUGAUUUUUGUUAAUUUAUAGUUUGAUUUUGGCUGUUGAUAAUGAUUUUUGUUAAUUGAUAGUUUGAUUUUGGUUAUUGAUAAGAAUCUUUUUCUUGUUGUUAAUUUUGCAACUACAAUUGGUGUUGAAGUUUAUCCAUUGGAUUUCCACACAAACGUUGGACCAAUUAUGUACUACUGGUGGUCAAGAGAAGUUUGGUGGCCUUAGAGAUGGACACUAGUUGAUCCAGUUGUUUAUAAUAUGAUUCAUGAAGAUCCUGGAAACUUGAGCUACUCGGCUGUUGGUGGAUUAUCUGAUCAGAUUAGAGAAGUAAAAGAAUGUAUUGACCUACCUCUUAUGAACCCUGAACUCUUCCAAAGGGUUGGGAUCAAACCCCCCAUGGGCAUACUUCUUUACUGGCCUAGGAUAUAUUAGACGGGGUUGAUAGAAAGACUUCAGUGUCAAUGACUGUCUGUUCAAUUGAUAUGAUUUUUUUGAAAAGUUACUCUCGGAAGCUUCCCAGUGAAUAAACCGACUUUUGAAGGAGCGUUAGCAUCCCAAAAAAAGAUCCAAUAAUUACCUGCUUCUUAAUCUUUCUGUUAUCAGAGCGUAAUUGUGAAAUUUGGACCAAGUAGGGAUUGGAUUUUGGUUAUGUAGCUAUCUUGAUUGGUUUCUUCAUUGAAGUAUGUUGUUUAUUGCUUCUGGCUUCUGCUACAGGUCGUUCACUUUCUAACCACCAGCUGAGGAUGAUGACGAUGAUUCUGAUGUUGACCUUUUUGGAGAGGAGACAGAGGAGGAAAAGAAGGCUGCAGAAGAACGUGCAGCAGCUGUCAAAGCCUCUUGCAAGAAGAAAGAAUCCGGAAAGUCUUCAAUUUUGUUGGAUGUGCAGCCAUGGGAUGACGAGACAGAUAUGGCAAAGCUUGAGGAAACCAUGAGGAGUAUCCAGAUGGAAGGCCUCACAUGGGGAAUGUGCAAUUGGAUAUGGUAUCGAGAAGUUGCAAAUUAUGAUGAAAAUUGUGGAUGACUUGGUAUCCAUCGAUUCCCUUAUUGGAUUUUGGUUAAGUGGUCUAUGACACUUCACGUCUAAGCCAGUGCCUCUAUGGUAUCAUCUACCGCCAUGUUUCUCAUAAUCGUUGUUUGGUUUACCAAGAAGAGAGUGCGCAGCAAAAGCGGAUCAUUUCCAUUUAGCAAUGUAACCCGACCACCAUAUUGGAAUGUGUAUGCUACUGCCAUAUUUGCAGGGGAGUCCAACAUAUGCGUUUUACUAUUUAUGUGAUAUUUUUGGUCAUGUAAAAAAAUCUAUCAUUUUCUUUUCUUUCGUUGCGCAACACACUUUCAUACAAGGUGAUUGGUAGGUUAACUUGAAUGAAUGAAAUUGGAGUGACAGGUUAAUUUGAAUGAAUGUAAAUUUGUUACACUGGCA